AUUAAUAUAUGAGAAACCUACUUAGUACUUACUAUGACAUAUCUAUUUUUUUUUAUUUUCCCAAGGUCCAUAUAUCACGGGAUAUAGAAAGAAAUAAAGAUAACUCAGCCAUUGUAUUUAAUGAUAGCAGAAAAGUCAGCUAACUUCUCAAUUCCAACAUAUAAUGAUGCAGGAAAGAAAAUGAGAGACAUAAAUAUAGUGUUAUGACUUAUGAAUUCUGGUUUCUAAAUUCAAUGACAGUGGCACAUGUUUAUCCAUUGUGAUUUAAUAAGAAUAAAAAAGCUCCUUAUUACUAGCUUUUCUGUUAUUAAUUUAAUUUUCAAAGCAGUUGAUACUUAUCUUUCUCAAAUAUGAUAAACCAUAACUUUAAUAAAGCAUAUUUUUCAUAAUGGUUGUAGUGUUAUAGACUGUUGUGUAUUAUUUUUUUACUAUUAUCCUGCAAGAGUGUCAGUUGCAGGUCAUUCUUGAAUAAAGCAGCUGUCAACAUCCCUUUAAAAACGGGUACUGCACACAAUCUGUGCAAACUUGACCAAUGACUGACAGUAAGCUAGGAAAUUAUAGUCCUACCUAACCAGUUUUGUUGGAACGGAAAUAGGUGAUUAACCAAUAUAUAUACACUUUGUUUGACAGGCGGUGCAAUCAAUAAACUCAAACUACCUAGCAACCUAAUAGCAGUAAAUUCCAGCAAGAUAUUUGAUGAAUUUUAUUGCUUGUUUGUUUAAUAGAGGAAGCUCUUCAAGAUAUAGCUAAAUCAAAGAAGGAUUGGAACUUCAACAUAGAUCCAUGCAGCAACAAACCUAGCUGGGCUACACCUCCCAUAUCCAAAGUCGUAGAAAAUAAUGUCGCCGGUGACUGCUCUAUUGCUGGUUACGACUUCUGCCAUGUUGUUUCAAUGUAAGUCUACUUCCCAUAGAAGUGACCAUUUUCUAUCACCACUUCUAAUUAAGUUGAAUUGUUUUUUUCCUUCCAUUUUUAGUAAUCAAGUAUUUAUAUUUAUACAAAUGUAGGAGUUCAUAUUGUAUAUCUGUGUAUACAUGAGUUAUCGUGUAGUAAACUUAACUGGUAUGGUAUACUUAUAGUUAUACAUCUAUAAAAUUGCUACCCCUUAUAGUAAAACUGAAAUUUGAAUGUAAAAUCAAUAUUCUCGAAGAAUCUUGUAGUUAAUAUGGUUGUUCCGUUUGUGCAUAAUUUGGUGGUGUUGAGUGAUGUCCCGUUCUCUGAUGAGCUACCACAAGCAUUGCAAUAUAAUUGUGGUAGUCCUGGCUACGAUCCUCCACUUUGUUGUGAUGAGGCUAACUCUUUUGGAAUUAACCGGUGAAGUUGUGUCUACUGUUGGGUAUGUUCAGGAAGGUUGUAAGACAGAUUCGGAUGAGCCUGAGUUGCAUCUUUAAGGAACAACUGAAGUUGAUCCAAAGGGUGAAGGCUCAGACUGUGAUUGGGAUGGUUUAAUUCACCAUGGUGCUGAUAUGUUAAUUGAAGCAGAAGCUUUUAAGGGUCUAACACAGAUUCUGAAUCUUGCUUUUUGAUUUUAUGGUUUACUUUAUGCCUUUUGAUGUUUAGGGUUCGGUUUAUUCUUUUAAUUCUAUAAGUUUGGAUAAAGACUACUUGAAGGUAUUAACUUUCCAUAGGAAUGGGUGCGCGUAUCAACCGAUGGUUUGGUCAUAUUUACUGGUAAGAGCAUUUUAUGGAAUUUUGAAUGGUCUAUUUAUUGGUUGAAACUGAUAGUGAUAAUGUUCCAUCUCACUGUAAGAACUAUGGCACAAUUUCUUCUGACAUUGCGCAGAUGUAUUACGAUCGACUCAGAAGCAUUGUUGGUUGUAUACAGAAUUUAUAACUUCAUAACUCGAGUAUAACUUCAUUGUUUCCAUUAGCUAUAGGUUUUUAAAAUUAAGUUGUUGUUUUUUACGUUAACAUGACUCGGAAGAUUUUGAUGUUUAUGUUCGACGUUUUUUGGUAAUAAAUUAGCUUGAGGAUAAACUUACAGGUAUGGGUUUGGUAAUCACUCUUGCUGCGUAAACCUGGAAUGACUAGGGAUAAUCUCUUCAAUAUAAAUGUUGGAAUUGUUAAAACACUCUAUGAAGCAAUUGUUUAUAGUCAUAGAAUACAAGUUUCUACAUGAAUAUUGUUAGUAAUAUUUUAUACUACAAACAGAUAUAUUUGUCCAUGUUGAUGAAGUUUUUGAUCAAGAGGGGGAUUCUGUGUAGGGUCUAAGAAGGCUACUGGAUCAAAGGCUAGGAGAUAACUACUCAAUUAACAAGGGCCUUUCAUUUGGCUAAACAAGCUUUAGACGAGGCAAUUGCGGAUUUAGAUACCUUGAGUGAAGAGUCAUACAAGGACAGUACUUUGAUCAUGCAGUUGUUGAGAGACAACCUUACUCUUUGGACCUCCGAUUUACCUGAGGGGGCUAAGUGUUGGACUUGGAAUCAAUUAUUCUUGUGCAGAACAGUGGAGACCCAUUGUUGAAGAAGCUUUGUCUGAAGCUGCUCCUUCGACUGAGACUGAAUAUUUCUAUCGAUGUUUCGAGCCUGCUUUGAAUGAAUGCUGCAGCAUUCACGGCAGCAAGGCAGUUUCCUGCUUUGAAGCAAAAUUGCAAACACAAAUAUGGAUGACAACCCUUUUGUUUCCUUCAACUACUUUAGUCACCCUUGCAAUCUUAUUUGCUACGUCGAAGGAAUCCGGUUAGCCUCAAAAGUUUUUCAGUCAAAGCAUUUCACAAACCUCACUUUGUGUGACAGAAAAACUACAGAACAGUUUCUUAACAACACUGCGAAGGCUAAUGUUAACCUUAUACCAAAGCAUGUCAAUGACACAAUCACUUGAACAGUUUUGUAGAGACAUUGUGAUCACUAUUUGGCAUUAUCAUGGUGGAUGCCAUGUUGGGAAGGUUGUCGACUCGGAUCAUAAGGUUCUUGGUGCUAACAGGCUUCGUAUCGUAGAUGGCUCGAUGUUUACCGAGUCUCCAGGAACUAAUCCUCAAGCUACUGUCAUGAUGAUUGGCAGAUACAUGGGAUUGAGGAUUUGCUGGUGUUUGAGGACAAGUAUGUAAUGUGACAUUUUAGGAUCAUGUCAAGAAAAUGAAAAGAACAAAAAAUGUGUUAGGAGAAGACUAGAGCAUUAUUAGUUUGACUUGAAUUAGGGUGUUUUGUUUUUUGGUAAUCAUGAGUGAAGAGUGAUAAUUGAACAAUUAAGAAAGAUUUUGCGUUUAGAACUAAAUGUAAUGUAACUCUUGAUGGAAUUGGAUGUUUGAACUUUGAUCUAUGUAUUUGAAAUAGUGUCUAUUGUAGACUUGGCAUUAUUAGUCUGGCUUUUCUGUUAUUGCAUUCUUGAUUUUCUUUGUGUGCAUCUCUUAGGGGACUAUGUUGGGAUCUAAUUUCUUAGAGGCUUUUAGUUUUGUUUCUUUAGGCGUUUGGUCCCAUUUGCUCAUCAAAAGGUUUGGUAGAACAUGAAUCAUGUUUUGUUCAUCCAUGAAGAUGGACAGUAAUUGCAUACUCAGGAGCUAGAUAGCUGCAAAACAGGAUUUCAAUGAGACAGAUGCAAAGUGUAGUGUGCAAUACAAGUGCAUUAAAAGCAUGUUGACAAGCCGGUUCAAUGUAUAUGAAAGCCUAAAGUCAACUU